rnacentral:misc_RNA from 1 species
GCGUUAUAGAUAUUGCGAUUUCUCCGCAGCAGGCCACCAUCUCUGCAUUACUGAGUCAUGUGCGUAAAGCGGAUAUCGUCGGCGUUUCCUCACUACGUCGCGGGGUUGCCGAAGCCAUCGAAGCCGUCGCGCACGGUGAUGAAAGCACUUCCCGCGUGGUUGGCCGCGUCAUUGACGAAAUAAAACUGCCACCAGGCACCAUUAUUGGCGCGGUCGUUCGUGGUAAUGAUGUCAUGAUUGCUAAUGACAAUUUGCGCAUUGAACAAGGCGAUCACGUCAUUAUGUUUUUGACCGAUAAAAAGUUUAUUACCGACGUCGAACGUCUGUUCCAGCCAAGUCCUUUCUUCCUCUAAUUUAAGGGGCGCUCAUUCAGCGCCCUUUUUAAUUCCCUUUAUUUAUCAAGGUUUAAUUUAUUUCGCUAAACAGAAGC